rnacentral:rRNA from 1 species
UACGGAGGGAGCUAGCGUUGUUCGGAAUUACUGGGCGUAAAGCGUGCGCAGGCGGUUUGUUAAGUCUGCUGUGAAAUCCCCGAGCUCAACUUGGGAAUUGCAGUGGAUACUGGCAAGCUGGAGUACGGUAGAGGAAGGUGGAAUUCCCGGUGUAGCAGUGAAAUGCGUAGAGAUCGGGAGGAACACCAGUGGCGAAGGCGGCCUUCUGGACCAGUACUGACGCUCAUGCACGAAAGCGUGGGGAGCAAACAGG